AUUGCACAGACAACCAGGAUGUUGGCUUAGAAGCAGCCACUCAUUUAAAGAGUGCGUAAUAGCUCACUGGUCGAGUGAUCCUGCGCCGAAAAUUUCCGGGGCUAAAACGUACUACCGAAGCUACGGCAUCAUUUAUGAUGGGUAGGAGAGCUUCCCAUACGGGUUGAAGCAUGACCGUAAGGACAUGUGGACUGUAUGGGAGUGAGAAUGUUGGCAUGAGUAGCGAGAUGUGGGUGAGAAUCCCACAGGCCGUAAACCCAAGGUUUCCAGGGGAAGGUUCGUCCGCCCUGGGUUAGUCAGGACCUAAGCCGAGGCCGAAAGGCGUAGGUGAUGGACAACAGGUUGAUAUUCCUGUACCACCAAUAACCGUUUGAGAAAUGGGAUGACACAGUAGGAUAAGCUAACCGCACUGUUGGUUAUGUGCGGGCAAGUAUUGAGGCAGUUCCGAUAGGCAAAUCCGUCGGAAUAAUGCUGGGGUACGAUGCGGAGCGAAAUUUAGUAGCGAAGUAGCUGAUUUCACACUGUCGAGAAAAGUCUCUAUCGAGGUUAAAGGUGCCUGUACCGCAAACCGACACAGGUGGGUGAGGAGAGUAUCCUAAGGCCAGCGAGAGAACUGUUGUUAAGGAACUCGGCAAAAUGACCCCGUAACUUAGGGAGAAGGGGUGCCUUCGAAAGAAGGCCGCAGAGAAUAGGCCCAAGCGACUGUUUACCAAAAACAUAGGUUUCUGCUAAGUCGCAAGACGAUGUAUAGGAGCUGACGCCUGCCCGGUGCUGGAAGGUUAAGGGGAUCUGUUAGAGCAAUCGAAGCAGUGAACUUAAGCCCCAGUAAACGGCGGCCGUAACUAUAACGGUCCUAAGGUAGCGAAAUUCCUUGUCGGGUAAGUUCCGACCCGCACGAAAGGCGUAACGAUUUGGGCACUGUCUCAACAACAGACUCGGUGAAAUUGUAAUACCGGUGAAGAUGCCGGUUACCUGCGACAGGACGGAAAGACCCCAUGGAGCUUUACUGUAGCUUGACAUUGAGUCUCGGUGCUACAUGUACAGGAUAGGUGGGAGACUAUGAAGCAUGGACGUCAGUCUGUGUGGAGUCAUCCUUGGGAUACCACCCUUGUAGUACUGGGAUUCUAACCAGAGGCCAUGAAUCUGGUCUUGGGACACUGUCAGGUGGACAGUUUGACUGGGGCGGUCGCCUCCCAAAAAGUAACGGAGGCGCUCAAAGGUUCUCUCAGUACGGUCGGAAAUCGUACGAAGAGUGUAAAGGCAAAAGAGAGCUUGAUUGCAAGACAUACAGGUCGAGCAAGGACGAAAGUCGGACUUAGUGAUCCGGUGGUUCCGCAUGGAAGGGCCAUCGCUCAACGGAUAAAAGCUACCCUGGGGAUAACAGGCUGAUCUCCCCCAAGAGU
rnacentral:rRNA from 1 species